ensembl:lncRNA
AUAGCAGCAGAUGGGUUAGAUGUGAAUAAGCGGCUCAGAUUCUGCUUCGUGUGACCUUUGUCACCACAGGAGCCAAGUUGGGUGGGGUGUAUAAAUUGCUGGCGUUGUCUGGAAAUGACUUUCGUGAGGCCAAGGAUUCCCCGUGGUCAGCUUUGGAAUCUAAGGACCUGAGUUCCUUGCUGGGGAAGCUCUUCCUUUAAAUCCUUCUGGCCUGUGGAGUGUGGACUGGGCCAGCACCCAGGACCCCAGUCAUCCCAGCCCGUCACUGCAAGCAGUGACUCCAGCUCAGUGACACAGCCCUCGCUGGGAAGCUCCGUGCCUGGAGCUCUCAUCUCCCCGUUGCGCUGGGAGGACGGAGGAAUAAUUCAGGAGAACUGAGACUGCAGGGUGAAGCCAUGGUCUUUGGGGUCCUUGAUUGCUCCUUCCUCCAUAAUGUUGUUUCCUAAAUCCCCUGAAUUCUCUCCCUCAGGUCCUUUCAACAUGGUUCUUCCUAGGGGACUGAGUCAAUUUUAUCUGCCUUCUACAAUGCCGCAGAUUGAGUAUUUUGGAAAGAAAACAGAUUUGUUUUGAUUCUAAGUUGCAGUCCAAAGCUGCAAGACGGUUCUUGGCAGAGACCUGAAGCUGUGCAGGGCAUACAUGGCCUUAGAAAGACAGUGGAGGAAAACAAGAAAAAGUGGAGGACGAACAUCCCAAGCUACUUUGACAGCAGGUGCUCAGGAGAGAAUUCCUUAGUGAAUGUUCUCAUCCAUUCUUGAGAGCAGAGACCUAAUUGCUCUUUAAAACGUCCCACCUGAUCCUACUUUCAAUAGCUAAUAAUGGCGGGUGGGGGGGUCCCCAAGGGAUUCUGUUGGCUAAAGACAUAAAAUAUCUUCUCUGAGCUGGUCCCUUUUCAUGUCCUUUGAACUAUUGAUACUGUGCUUGAAUUUUUUUUCUCCUUUUUUGCACAUAUGCUGCUAUCUGAGAUGUGGUUCAAAUAGUUCACUCACUCAUUCCACUGAUUGGGAGACUUGGCAUCUUUCAAGUUUAUUUUUUGUAGAUGUUGUGAGUAUCAUUUGUUAAUGGCAAGUCAUGAUAACUUUUUUAUAUCAUGGGAAAAAUUGUUGGGUUAUAGGUUGUUGAUAAAUUUAAAUUUACUAAGAAGCGCUCACAGAGCAUAUGAAUUAACCAUCUGACCUUUUAUAUAUGUGUAUUUGCUCGAUCUUGUGAUUUGCCAACAGCGGGAUGAUCUAAUUAUCUUUUUCGUCUAAUGUUAAGUAGCAUCUUCUGUAUGAUUCUAUAUUGCUAAAUACUGAUUACCACUAGUCCUGAAUUUGUAUCCGCUAUUUAUUCAUGCUGGUUACCACUAAUGAAUCCACAUUUUCCCAUGCAGUUCUGUAAGUUUUUACCUCAUGUAUUUGAUGCUCUGUUUAGGAGCUCACAUAUCAAAGAUUGUCAUAUCUUUUUAGAGAAAUACCUGCCUUAUCAUUACAUAAUCUCAGUAAGAUUUAAUUUUAUCUGAUCUAAGGCCCGCUUAGUAUGAAGGAAAUGUACUUAAUCUGUGUUUCUUUGGUCUUAUAAUGGUCUUCUGUAUAACUUUAUAUUUAAUCUAUCUGAUUUCUUUUUGUUCAUAUUUUGAAAUAAUUUUAUAUCUCAAUUUAACAAAAUUGAAUAUAUUCACCACUUAAAUAUGGUUUUUGGAGUACAUAUAGAUGGCAAAGUUGCUAAAAAAAAAAUAUAUUAGCUCUACUCUUUUUACUAACCCACAAGAUGUGUCACCAAACACUCCGAAUUAAUGGAGAGAGCAGAAUUUGACUAAUUUGCCAAACUAUUUUUCUAACUAGAACGUUCCACAAAUGACGAUGCUCUUUUACAGGAAAUUCUAUAAAACAGUGCUUCCAAAGCUUUUCAGUGCCCAAGGAAGAGAAUAAGUUCUUCGCUCCUCCCAGUUGUUGUCUUAUCCAAAUGUAGCCAGAAAAUUCUAUGAGUAUCUCAAGGAGACAUUAGAUCUUUACUCAAAAAUACAGAUGAAUGCUACACUUACCAAACAGAGGGCCUGGGAGUCAUAGUGAACAGCACACAGGCUGGUGAAGAGGAAGAAUCAGGACAUGUGUUCCUGAUUCACCAAGCAUCCUCCAGGAAAGUGGCCAACUACAAUUGGAGAGAAGGCACUUGUUUCAUAUGGACCUCCAAUUCUUCACCUCUGUCCUUUUCCACGGUUUCUGCAAUCUUUCUUCUUUAAGCAUCUCUGCUUUUGGUUCCCUCAGGAUAAUGAAGGUAUCAGCAUUUAUUCUUUCAAACAUCUUACAAAUGCCAUAGACCCAUUGCUUGUGUUUGCUAGUUUUCCUCUAACCAGCAUCUUUCAAAAUUGCCUAAAAGUAUGAAGACCCUUAUCAUGACUACUUGUUCAUUCUGAUUCAGCUGAAGGGAGCUCAACCUCUAUGUUGCCAAGGAAGGUGGAAAGGACAAAACAAUGGAGGGUUCAGCAAGGUUUCAAUCUUGACUAUAUUUUUUCUUCCAUCAAUUCUUGUUAAAGCAUUGUCCAAUGACAAUAAACUUUAUAUAGCAGUUAUUCA